AUACGGAGGGUGCAAGCGUUACUCGGAAUCACUGGGCGUAAAGCGCGCGCAGGCGGGCUGAUAAGUUGGAUGUGAAAGCCUACGGCUCAACCGUAGAACUGCAUCCAAAACUGUCAGUCUAGAGUGUGGGAGAGGAAGAUGGAAUUAGUUGUGUAGGGGUAAAAUCCGUAGAGAUAACUAGGAAUACCAAAAGCGAAGGCAAUCUUCUGGAACACUACUGACGCUGAGGCGCGAAAGCGUGGGGAGCAAACAGGAGUAGAAACCCUAGUAGUCC
rnacentral:rRNA from 1 species